GCAGCACUGUUCAUGCGCAGCAAAAGAGCGCGCAGCAUCAACGAAAUCCGAAAGAAAUUUACCGUUGCUCCUUAUGCCAUCCAUCGCCAGUUUCUUCAGUAUUUGUUCGUUGCGCGUCGAGUGCUCAACUUGGCAGCUGACCGUCCCAGUGUGCAGUGCCGUCGCCGAUUUCCAAAAGUCGCGCUGUUCGGUCAGCACUAUUCCAAAAACAAAAACCUGUAAAUUAUGUAAAGACGCAUUUUUGGAAUAUCAGUCAACUCAAAACGUCCGCAUCCAAAUCAGCAACGACUACAACAACA